rnacentral:rRNA from 1 species
GCGUACACGGUGGAUGCCCUGGCAGUCAGAGGCGAUGAAGGACGUGCUAAUCUGCGAAAAGCGUCGGUAAGGUGAUAUGAACCGUUAUAACCGGCGAUGUCCGAAUGGGGAAACCCAGUGUGAUUCGUCACACUAUCGUUAACUGAAUACAUAGGUUAACGAGGCGAACCGGGGGAACUGAAACAUCUAAGUACCCCGAGGAAAAGAAAUCAACCGAGAUUCCCCCAGUAGCGGCGAGCGAACGGGGAGC